AGCGAACGCUGGCGGCAGGCUUAACACAUGCAAGUCGAGCGGGCGUAGCAAUACGUCAGCGGCAGACGGGUGGGUAACGCGUGGGAACAUACCUCUUGGUUCGGAACAACACAGGGAAACUUGUGCUAAUACCGGAUAAGCCCUUUACGGGGAAAGAUUUAUCGCCGAGAGAUUGGCCCGCGUCUGAUUAGCUAGUUGGUGAGGUAACGGCUCACCAAGGCGACGAUCAGUAGCUGGCUGAGAGGAUGAUCAGCCACAUUGGGACUGAGACACGGCCCAAACUCCUACGGGAGGCAGCAGUGGGGAAUAUUGGACAAUGGGCGCAAGCCUGAUCCAGCCAUGCCGCGAGAGUGAUGAAGGCCCUAGGGUUGUAAAGCUCUUUUGUGCGGGAAGAUAAUGACGGUACCGCAAGAAUAAGCCCCGGCUAACUUCGUGCCAGCCGCCGCAGUAAC
rnacentral:rRNA from 1 species